AAUAUUACUAGUUUUGUGAUGCUCUUUCAAGCUGUGAUAAAAUGUUUGUCUAGACUUGUUGAGAUCUAAAUUUUAGUCAAAAGGUGAAAGGUCCAUUGGCCCCUAAUAUGGCCAAUACCAUAAACCUCCAAAUAUAAGCCCCCCCCCCUGUGUAUAAGCCCACCACAUGUACUAACGCUCACCUCAUUCCAAAUAUAAGCCCCGAAUAUAAGCCCACCCAAAUAUAAGUCCCCCAAUUAAUAUAAGCCCAGUAAUUGCUGCUUAAUACACGUUUAUUACCAUGUUUAUGACUGACUUGUUUAUGUCUGACUUGUUUAUUACUAACACAAAAGAUCGUCCAUGUAUAAGCCCACCCAUAUAUAAGCCCCCCCCCCCCUUUUAUAAGCCCAUCAAAAUCGCUUACGAAAGUAUAUAAGCCCAGGGCUUGAAUAUAGUCGGAGGUUUACGGCAUAUCAUAUAUAUAUGUACGGCUCCCAUAUAUAGGCCCCUAUAUGACGACCCCUGUAUUGGCCCCUAUAAAUAGCGACAAUAUGACGGCUCCCUGCUCUGCAGUGACAAUAUCACAAAUCGUGUUUGGACCAAUUUUGGAAGCAAAAUGCUUCAGACAAGCAGCCUUUCCUGUUAUAUAUUUUGUUCUCCAUGCUCGUAUCCUUUUCACCAAACUGCACGAAUUCUCGCGGCUCAACUCUGCUGUACUUUUGUGCCUUGCCCGAGACAUCUGAGCUUUGGCAUUGUACAACUAUUUCUUCAAUUUUUCCCUCUUUCAAUCAUUUUUCUUGCUCUUUUUUGCUUCAUUUCGUCUCGUCUCGAGAAUUCUGCCAUUUUGAAAACAUGUGAGUUUAUAGUGCUUCCACUCUGCUGAAGCAAAAUAUCCUCUUUUCCGACCGCAAUGCAUAUUGGUCUAUGGCAGCGAUAGGCCAGUGGUGUUUUUAAAUUCAAUUUACUUUUCCGAAAAAAAUUCUUAUGGCAGCGAUAGGCCAUAGGUAAUUUUCAUUUUGUUUUCAUUUGUUUUUAAUAUCAUUUCAUUUUGUUUUUAC